rnacentral:rRNA from 1 species
CAGCAGCCGCGGUAAUACGAAGGGGGCUAGCGUUGUUCGGAAUCACUGGGCGUAAAGGGUGCGUAGGCGGAUUCUUAAGUCAGGGGUGAAAUCCCGAGGCUCAACCUCGGAACUGCCUCUGAUACUGGGGAUCUUGAGUCCGGAAGAGGUGAGUGGAACUGCGAGUGUAGAGGUGAAAUUCGUAGAUAUUCGCAAGAACACCGGUGGCGAAGGCGGCUCACUGGUCCGGAACUGACGCUGAGGCACGACAGCGCGGGGAGCAAACAGGAUUAGAGACCCGCGUAGUCCCUGUCUCUUAUAC